AGCUUGGUGAGUAGAGGAGCAACAACACCUCCGGCGAAGCAGAGCAGGAGUGGCGAGUGGUGGGAUUACUCGUGUUCCACCCGCGGCGUCCUUAGCAGGGAAGAACGAAAAUGAAGAUGGUUCCCGGUAGCUUGGCUUUAUGAGUUGAGCCUAAGUUGGCGUUGUUUUAUGAUGUUAAGCGAAUGAGGCACAGAAGAUUAAGUCACUGGAGUGCGCUA